CCAAACCAAGUAAUGAUUAUAUUUUUUUCAAGUGCCAUUGACUUCAGUUCCAGUUUCAGCUCCACUUAUUAUGUAAGCGAGCAUUAAACUACUUGCAUAAAUCACUUGCCUGGCAACGGACACUGCCUUGGGGCCCUGGCGGUGAUUAAUUAUUGGAAAAACUGCUACAAAGGACUCGCCCCCAAGGCCCGGAUGUGUUGUUGUCAGUUCUCCCCGAGGGCAAUAUGACAAUUAGUUACCAAAGCAACAACAGAAAUACCUACAAAUGACAGCAAAAUACACAGGGGAGUGGGCAUGCUAACAUUUCUAUGGAGUGGUCUAUAUAUGGACGGCGUUGGUCCUGGAUGCAGAGGACAUGAAGGACGUGGAGGACACACACACCGCACAACAUGGCCGCAUGGCAGCCAUUUUGGUGGCAUCAGAGGACACUCAAUGGCGGCAGCAGGAGCACGGAGUGAAAAGUCGCUUCGAUGUGGAACGAUACAUUUAGUUGAUUUUUCACUGGGAGCAGAGCAACGGCAGGCAUUUAAUUAGAAAAUACGUAUACGCCGCAUGGUACGUGCUCGCAAUCACGUGCUUGCCGCCUUCACGUUGCCACGACAGCACGGAAUCCCUGUCAACUAAUUCAUCAAUUUUUUCUCAUUUUUCUCGCAAAUUUUGUUUUAAUGAUUUCUGCACCGCCUUCGUUCUGCGGACAACAUUAGCUUUUUAAAUUCUACGUCUUUUUUUAGCUUAAAGCUUCGCGCCGAAUCAUCGUGCUCUGCAUAAUUAAGAUAAGUUGCACAGUGCUCGAAAGUAAUUAGCUGAGAUAUUUAUUACAAUUACCUGUCAGCGAGAACGAGUGCACUUGGAAUUGCGUGUAAAUGAACUUUGCCAAGUCAAGUCGUGCACUUGGCUCUAACUAUGUUAAUUCGUGUGAUAGUUUGUCGUGGCUCCAAAUGUCAAACGGUUGGCGGUACAGUGGGUCCAAAAGUUGUGGGCCUGAUAAAUGGCCUAGUCAAAAAAAACUUUAAAUAACUUGUUAUGUGCCGACUUAAAACCAUAUUACCGCAAAGAUAAACGUUCUCAUUAAAUAUAUCGCUUCGAAGAGUUGGAGGAACCCCCGAAAAAUACAUUUCGUGGUCGAAACCUCUUUAUUUUCGGGCCAUUAAGCGUGCUGGCCAAAGGGCAAAGGCAGGAAAAAAGAUGUGAAAGAAAAAAAAACCACACUAAUUCGGAGAGAAACAUUAAAAAUAUUUCCAUAGACUUGUAGACUUUGUACUUGGCCAACUGCUGGUAUCACAACCAUUCUUAGGCAAUUAGGCUCACUGUGCCAGAUUAUUAGACAAGAUCCAGCUAAGCGGAUUAGCUGUAAUGUUAAUUAAAACUUUAUCUCAAGCCCCGCACUCUUUGCGAAACUAAUUUGCAAACAAAGUUAAUCACGUUCCUCGCAUUGAUAUCCAAUAUAAGCCGCAAUGAUUUCUAAAUACUCUUGCAUAUCGCACAUUUAUGCAAAUUAUCUGCGAGUGAGCUAAUUGUGUAUUAAUUAAAUAGCAGUUCUGUGCCUAAGCCUCCAUAAUUCAUAUACACUUAGUGGGAGGAUUAUGCUUUGUCAAGUAUCAAUAGCCGGCAAAUGAAAUCAAAUCAAUUAUUUCGGCUAUGCGACUGCUCAACUGAUGAAGCCCAGCAAUCUCCGAGAAACUAUUCGCACACAAAGACUACGUGUGUAUCCAUAGUAAUCUGGAUGCCUUAUAAGCCAGGCAGCAAUUUGCAUAAACAAUUAAUCAUGCAAAGCGUGAAACGUGCGCAAAAUUCGAAAAGAACAACAAACUAAAUUUAGUUGUGCCACAGACUCGCUGGAAGGAAAGAAAUACAUCCACCAUGUCGAUGGACUGACAAAGGGGAACUAUGGCCCACGAGCUUGUCUGAAAUUCAUAGAAAUUGCACCGCAUAUGAUUCAAUUUCGCCUUUCAGCCAGGCGACUUGCGCUGAGCCUGCUCAAAAACUAGCAGAAGGCAGCAGGCAGCUAGCGGCAGCGCCAAUAAACGUGGCCCAAAAGAAUGCAGUCCGAAAACCAGUUUAGCGUACAGCCUGUGGACUACUCGAUCUCCAGCGUGCAGAGCACUAUACACCGAAAAAUACACGAUGGAAAAACAAACAAAAAUACAGCAAUAAAAAAAACACACAGAAUCGGUAGCAGCCCAAAUACACCGGAAAUAAUGGAUUAUCUAACUCCUUAUCUAAGUCCUUGCUAAGUGAAUUUAUACUUUUUGUACCUUUAAACAC
ensembl:ncRNA lncRNA:CR45226 long non-coding RNA:CR45226